AACGGCGAGUGAAGCGGCAACAGCUCAGAUUUGAAAUCUGGCCCUAUGGGUCCGAGUUGUAAUCUGUAGAGGAUGCUUUUGGCAAGACGCCUUCUGAGUCCCCUGGAACGGGGCGCCAUAGAGGGUGAGAGCCCCGUACGGUUGGACGUCGCGCCUCUGUAAAGCACCUUCGACGAGUCGAGUAGUUUGGGAAUGCUGCUCAAAGCGGGAGGUAAAUUUCUUCUAAAGCUAAAUACCGGCCAGAGACCGAUAGCGCACAAGUAGAGUGAUCGAAAGAUGAAAAGCACUUUGAAAAGAGGGUUAAAAAGUACGUGAAAUUGUUGAAAGGGAAGCGUUUGUGACCAGACUUGGUCUCGGCGGAUCACCCGGCGUUCUCGCCGGGGUACUCUGUCGGGUUCAGGCCAGCAUCGGUUUCUCCGGGGGCAUAAAGGCCCUGGGAACGUAGCUCUUUCGGGAGUGUUAUAGCCCAUCGCACAAUACCCCCGGGGGGACCGAGGCCCGCGCAUUGCAAGGAUGCUGGCGUAAUGGUCACCAGCGACCCGUCUUGAAACACGGACCAAGGAGUCAAGCAUUAGGGCGAGUGUUUGGGUGGAAAACCCGCACGCGAAAUGAAAGUGAACGCUGGUGAGAGCUUCGGCGCAUCAUCGACCGAUCCUGAUGUUCUCGGAUGGAUUUGAGUAAGAGCCUUACCGCUUGGACCCGAAAGAUGGUGAACUAUGCUUGUAUAGGGUGAAGCCAGAGGAAACUCUGGUGGAGGCUCGCAGCGGUUCUGACGUGCAAAUCGAUCGUCAAAUAUGAGCAUGGGGGCGAAAGACUAAUCGAACCAUCUAGUAGCUGGUUACCGCCGAAGUUUCCCUCAGGAUAGCAGUGUUGUUUUCAGUUUUAUGAGGUAAAGCGAACGAUUAGGGACCCGGGGGCGCUAUUAGCCUUCAUCCAUUCUCGAACUUUAAAUAUGUAAG
rnacentral:rRNA from 1 species